CGCGAGUCGCGAGUCUUAGGGACUCGGCGUACCGCUCAGUAACACGUGGGUAACCUGCCCUAUGCUGGGGGAUAACCUCGGGAAACUGAGAAUAAUACCCCAUAGUUCACCACGCCUGGAACGGUGGGUGGAUGAAAGCUCCGGCGGCAUAGGAUGGGCCUGCGGCGUAUCAGGUUGUAGGGGGUGUAAUGUACCCUCUAGCCAUCUACGCGUACGGGUGUUGGGAGACAUCGCCCGGAGAUGGAUUCUGAGACACGAAUCCAGACCCUACGGGGUGCAGCAGGCGCGAAAACUUGGCAAUGCGAGCAAUCGUGACCAGGGAACUCCAAGUGCAUCGGGUAAGACCGAUGCUUUUCUUGACUCUUCAAAGGUCUUGGAAUAAGGGGUGGGUAAGGACGGUGCCAGCCGCCGCGGUAAUACCGGCGCCUCAAGUGGUAGUCGCUUUUAUUGGGCCUAAAACGUCCGUAGCCGGUUUGGUACAUUCGUGGGUAAAUCAGGGCGCUCAACGUCUUGAAUUCUGCGAGCACGGCCAGACUUGGGACCGGGUGAGGUGUGGGGUACUCUCAGGGUAGGGGUAAAAUCCUGUCAUCCUGAGAGGACCACCUGUUGC
rnacentral:rRNA from 1 species